AAUCUUCCCCCAGAGUACUCAGGCAGCCUGUCAGGCCCUGCAUGUUUUUGUGGAUUUGGGCCAUAUCAGCCUGUAUGGUGAGCUGAAGCCCCGCUAGCAGUUCUUUCAUAACCGCUAUGGUCACUGGGGAUGAGUCUGGCUGUGGGUGAAUCGGGAGAGGAGCCUUCGGGACGGGUGAGUGUUCCAUCUCUGCUCCAGUUGUAAAGUUGCCAGAGAUACAGGAGCAGUUGUCUACAAAGGCAGUCAUAUUUAGGCCCACGGUGCUGUGUGCUUGUCCCCGUAGAUCCAAUAUUUAUAUUUUGCCUUAGUUUGCUGGCUUGGACUUUUUAGUUUCCAGCGGCCUUCAGAUUGGGGGUCCAUUUGGCACGGUUUUUAAGGAGUUUGGGAUGUGGUAGAGGGCCCAGAAUGGCUGUUUAGUGCAGAGUUGAGGCGGCAUGCGACCAUUCUAGUCGGUUGCUUGGCUCCACCCAGGACUCUUCUUCCUAAAUACAUUUUUUGUAUGUAAAUUUGUCAAAUUACUUUUUUGUCUUUCCUGUAAAUUCAAAAUGUAAUCUCUCAGCUUCUUAAGUUUGCCCAAACUGCUACUUUAUUUUAAAUGCUUUUAUAUUACUGUGAGACUUCAGGAUCUGCAUUACAGGUUUAUUACUAGUGCUGCUGCCAACAUCCACUCACUGCAAAAUUAGUAAUGUAGAUAAAUGGCUUUAAACUAAUGUGUAUAUAUAGACUUGUACAAAAAUUAGUUUUUCGGCCAGUUCGUCCUAACCAAAUUGCCAUACUUCCCAAUAUUUCUAACGGGGUAAGAGUGACACUUAUUUUAGGGGUGUGAGGUGAUCAGUGAUGGGCUGUUCUGAGAAGUUUUAGACAGACCUGAUGCAGCACAUGUAUUCAUCCACAAAACAGCAACUUCAAAGCUCAGACUUUUAAAUUUUAAAAACACCUAAUCUAGACAAAAAUGGGGGUUUAGUUACAGUAUAUAAGCAUACAUUGCAUCAGCCUGCCACAACGUCAAUAUAUCCCGUCUUUGGCAGGUCCUUCUCUAACAGUAACUAAUGUCUGCUUUUAUGAGAUUAACACAGUUUUUACAUGAAAAUGCCUGCAGCGAAUGAUUAUGCUCACCAGAACAAAUCCCUUAAGCUC